rnacentral:rRNA from 1 species
UAAGAUUUUAAUUGAAUGCUAAGAGAAUGGAUUUACAAAAAAUGACUUUUUUAAAUUCAAUAAUUGAAUUUAUUUUUAUUUGUGAGGAAACAAUAAUAAAUAUUAAGGACAAGAAGACCCUAAGAAUUUUAAAAGAAUUAAUAUUUGAAUCAAAAUUUAUAUCUUUUUAAUUGGGGCGAUUAAGAAAUAUUAAUAACUUUCUUUACAAUACCAAAAUGAACCGUUAAUAGCGGUAAUAUGAUAAAAAUACUCUAGGGAUAACAGCGUAAUAAUUUUUGAUAGUUCAUAUAGACAAAAUAGUUUGCGACCUCGAUGUUGGAUUAGGAUACUUUUUUAAUGAAGAAG